rnacentral:rRNA from 1 species
AUUUAAAUUCUAUAGGUAGUAUUAUGAUAUUAUAAAAACCUACAUAUAUUGGCGGCAUUUUUUCUUAUUAGAGGAACUUGUUUUUUAAUCGACAUCACACGAUAAUUUUAACUUAAAUUUAAAUUUUAUAUACCGCCGUCAUAAAAGUUAAUUUACAAAAUUAUUCUUCAAAUAACAUUAUAAUACUUUAGGUAAAGGUGUAGAACACAUUUAAGUUAAAAUGAGUUACAUUAAUAAAUAAUUAAGGAUAUUUUUAUAAAUAAAAAUAUAAAAUAGAAUUUAAAAGUAUUUUUUCAAUAAUAAUUAAAAUUGAAUAAGAAAAAAAAUGUGU